UCAAUAAUUCUCCAAAACAUCAUUCAAAACAAGUUUAAUGUAAACCAUUAUAUCUAAUAAAAAACAUAAUUUGAAACAUCCACAUCAAUAAUGUAUGAUUCUUAAAUGGUCCAAAACAAAAUAUUUAAAACUUGAAUCCUCAAUAAAACUACCAACCAUCAGGAUCAAAAUCACUUUCAUUCACGUUAUCGGGAUUAUCACUUCCAUUCACGUCGUCAGAGUCAUCAUAACUUUCAUCCUCAUAAGCUUGGUAGUCUUCUUGAGAUGGACGUUCAUCGUUUGAAGAUGAUUUGUUGUAGACAUGCUUCAUCAACAAGUGUAAUUCCUUUCUCAUCCUCUUAUUUUUCUUUCGCUCAGUCUGUAAUUGAGAAUACAAAUCAGUAUUUGAAGCAUCAACCUGAGACUUAAUCAUCUCAUCAAUUUCUUUUAAGUUGAUGUUGAACUGUUAGUUGCCUUUACACUUCAACCUAGGGAGCCAAGACCUUUGACUCUUCCUUUCUUCUUUCCAUGAUUGCACCUAGAUAUCCAUUUCACUUAACUGAGUCAGCUGACUAGCUGAAUUAGUUUCUCCAUCCAUAGCUGAUGCACUUUGAACGGCUAAUUUUUCUUGUUUCUUUCUUUCAAACUCAUUUUGCAUAAGGAUAUAUUAAGUCAGACCAUAAAAAGUGGUAAGAAAUAUAUUAUUAGCAUAAAUUAUAUUAUAGAUUAUAGACUAACUGCUGCUACAUUAUUAAUAGACUAACUUUUCAUUUUCAUAGUGAUGUUGCAUUUUCACCAACACAUAGGACUUAAGCAACAGUAAAUCAUUGAACUAGAUGACAGCAGCUUGGAACAAGGCACCCAUUGCAAAGCUUCUUUAGAACUUGUGUAAAAAGAAGUACGCCUUGUGUAUACAGUGAGUGCAUAGCUAUUAUGUUAAAGAUGGAUUGAUAUGUGAUAUCAUUCCUCUGCAAGCUUUGUGCAAGGUUUUGCAAAAAGUUUCCAAAGAAAAGAAGUACUAUAUUAAGGUUUGUGUGAGUUAUGUAGAUGUGAUUAGUAUAGAGAACUACGUACUCCAUCAAGGAAAUGUGCAUGAAGUUACAAGGUAUUUUUCCAAAGGUACACUAGAAGAGACUUGUUUGUAAUAGUUUGUCACCGGGAAAAUGGAUUUGGAUGCUACUUUCAGCGGCGGAGCCAGACUUUUAAGUCUGUGGGUUCAGAAUUUCAAGCGAAGGCAACAACCUCAAGCUAAUGUAUAACCUUAGCGAAAGUAACUAACAAAUAAGGAUAUUUAAAGUAUAUUUUAAAAAACGAUAAAUUACUUAAACACUAUAAAUAUAAGCAUUAUCAUUACAAUUACAUUCGGCGAGUUGACAUGUUUGAAAGCGAUCAAUGAUCGUAUCAUUUGAAAACGAUCAAUCAUCUGUUUAGUUUGGGCCACUGGCAGAACUCUUAGUGUAAAAUGACAUACGAAGAAGCUUUUUUCAGCCAGAAAAACAAAAAAAGAAUAUAAGGGAAAGACCCCUCAUAUCUGUCAAAUUACGUUAGCAGUAAUUUUUAGGGAAAAUUACGAGAAGCUGGAACAACUAAGCAACUCAGAGAACUGCACAUCAAGAAAUAAAUGUCUAACUACACUCUGCAACAUCAUUCAAUCUGUGAAUCCAAAAACCAUUGUACACUAUGAGAAAAUGUGCUAGUGAAGUUUAAAAGUUUAUGCCAGAAUUCAAAGUACAAAUACGAAAAAAAAGUGAAGCAAUACUCAAAGUUAAUUUAUUAUCUACAUGUCAUACAUAACAGCCCUUGUACAAAAUGUAACAAUAAUAAGUGCAUUUCAUGUCCACUGAUGAAGUGGUAUAAAGAUUAUGCAACAAGUGCAGGUAUAGGAUUUUGUGGGUAAUAGGGAGGAUAAUUUAAGAUUAAAGGGGCAAUAAUAUCUAGAACUCAUUUAGCAACGGUCAAAAUAUAGACAAUGCCCAUGUUUUCUUAUGACUGUCGCAAC
rnacentral:lncRNA from 1 species